rfam:Cricetulus griseus cell line CHO-K1, whole genome shotgun sequence.
CCAAAGGCUCUUUUCAGAGCCCCCACUGUGUCAGAGAAAGAGUUG